rnacentral:tRNA from 1 species
GUCAGCGUGGGAGAAUGGAGAAUCCCGUUGCCUUCGGGUGGCGCUCGUUACGCGGGGUUGUAGGUUCGAAUCCUACCUCUGGCU